rnacentral:rRNA from 1 species
GAUGGUGACGGCGUGCCUUUUGCAUAAUGAGUCUGCGAGUUAUUGUUCGUGGCAAGCCUAAGGGCUUUUGGUCCGGAGGCGAAGCGAAAGCGAGUGUGACAAGCGCGUCAUAGUCGCGGGCAAUAGACCCGAAGCGGAGGUGAUCUAGCCAUGGCCAGGUUGAAGCUUAGGUAACACUAAGUGGAGGACCGAACCGGUGUACGUUGAAAAGUGCUCGGAUGAGCUGUGGCUGGGAGUGAAAGGCUAAUCAAACCCCGUGAUAGCUGGUUCUCUCCGAAAUAGCUUUAGGGCUAGCGUCAGGCAAGGAUUCGAGGGGUAGAGCACUGAAUGGCUUAGGGCCCAUACCCGGGUACCAAAACCAAUCAAACUCCGAAUACUCGAACUCCGUACUGGCAGUCAGACUAUGGGUGAUAACAUUCAUGGUCGAAAGGGAAACAACCCAGAUCGCCGGCUAAGGUGCCCAAACUGGAUUAAGUGGAAAGGAUGUGGAAUUGCAUAGACAGUGAGGAUGUUGGCUUAGAAGCAGCCACCAUUUAAACAUAGCGUAACAGCUGACUCAUCGAGCGAUUCUGCGCCGAAAAUGAUUGGCGAUUAAAUCCAGUACCGAAGCCGCGGACGUGUUUUACACGUGGUAGGAGAGCGUCGUCUAUGCGCUGAAGCUGAACUGUAAGGGACAGUGGAGCGUAGACGAGUGAGGAUGCAGACAUGAGUAGCGAUAAAACAGGUGAGAAUCCUGUUCGCCGUAAACCCAAGGUUUCCCAUAGCCACGCUCGUCGGCUUGGGGUUAGUCGGGACCUAAGGUGAGGCCGUAAGGCGUAAUCGAUGGACAGCAGGUUAAUAUUCCUGCACCGGCGGGUAUUUAGUGUAUGAGUGCGCGGAGAAGGAAGAUGCAUACAUAACGUUAUGGAAGAGGCUUAGUCCACGAGGCGAAGCCCGCAUUGGAAAUCUCUGCCUAGAAAAGCUCAUACACAUUCUAUGCCUGUCGCCCGUACCGUAAACCGCCACAGGUAGGAGGGUGUAAAUGUACCAAGGCGCGCGAGAGAAACCUCUUUAAGGAACUCUGCAAAUUAGCCCCGUAACUUCGGAAGAAGGGGUGCCAUCUUCGGAUGGCCACAGUAAAGGGUGACUGGCGACUGUUUACCAAAAACACAGCUCUCUGCUAAGAUGUUAAGUCUACGUAUAGGGAGUGACACGUGACCAAUGCCGAAAGAUCAAGGCUGUUCUGUUAACGCAGGGCACCCAAGUCCCGGUGAAUGUCGGCCGUAACUAUAACGGUCCUAAGGUAGCGAAAUUCCUUGUCGGGUAAGUUCCGACCUGCACGAAUCGUGUAACGACCGGUCAACUGUCUCAAAGAGGAUCUCGGCGAAGUUGUAAUGGCGGUGAAGAUGCCGCCUACCCGCGGUAGGACGGAAAGACCCUAUGCACCUUUACUGUAAGCUGGUAUUGGGUUCUGGACUGUGAUGUGUAGUAAUAGGUGGGAGACUGUGAGACGAGUUCGUCAGGAUUCGUGGAGUCGCCAAGUGAAAAACCACCCUUUAUUUUCUAGGAUUCUAACCUCGAUUCCUGUUAGCCAGGCGAGGGACAGUGCUUGCGGGUCAGUUUGACUGGGGCGGUUUCCUCCCAAAAAGUAACGGAGGAGCGCGAAGGUACUCUCAGCAUGGUUGGAAACCAUGCGUCGAGCGUAUAGGUAGAAGAGUGCUUAACUGUAAGACCGACAGGUCGAGCAGGUACGAAAGUAGGCCUAAGUGAUCCGGCAGUAGAAAAUG